ACUCCUGCGGGAGGCAGCAGUGGGGAAUUUUGGACAAUGGGCGAAAGCCUGAUCCAGCAAUGCCGCGUGAGUGAAGAAGGCCUUCGGGUUGUAAAGCUCUUUUGUCAGGGAAGAAACGGUGAGAGCUAAUAUCUUUUGCUAAUGACGGUACCUGAAGAAUAAGCACCGGCUAACUACGUGCCAGCAGCCGCGGUAAUACGUAGGGUGCAAGCGUUAAUCGGAAUUACUGGGCGUAAAGCGUGCGCAGGCGGUUUUGUAAGUCUGAUGUGAAAUCCCCGGGCUCAACCUGGGAAUUGCAUUGGAGACUGCAAGGCUAGAAUCUGGCAGAGGGGGGUAGAAUUCCACGUGUAGCAGUGAAAUGCGUAGAUAUGUGGAGGAACACCGAUGGCGAAGGCAGCCCCCUGGGUCAAGAUUGACGCUCAUGCACGAAAGCGUGGGGAGCAAACAGGAUUAGAAACCCCGGUAGUCCCAUG
rnacentral:rRNA from 1 species